rnacentral:misc_RNA from 1 species
CUCAAUUUCUUGUCCGAGCCCGGCCCGCAACGGGCCUAAACGGGCCACGAAAAAAGCGGGCUAUGCGGGCCAAAAAACACGUUUUAGUGUAAAAAAAGCGGCCUUAACGGGCUUAGAGCUAAACGGGCCGUGCCGGGCUAGCCCACCGUGCCUAAUUUCCUGUCCGAGCCUGGCCCGCUUAUUCGUGCCGGGUCGGCCCGGGCCCGCAUAUAACCGGGUCGUGCCGGGCUCGGACCGGGCCCAAAAAGCGGGCUUCGUGCCGGGCUCGCGGGCCUCGUGCUUAUUGGACAUAUAUAUUCCUACUAAACACACCGGGCUACUACUUUUUAACAGGAGAACCGUCCAUAAUAAAAAACGAGCAAGAAAAAUAUCACAAUCACCAAACCACAUUGAUUUCAACCCGGGAACAACUCGACGGCUCAACCCUAAACCCUCGGAUUUAAUACUAGAGUUCGACACCGACGUGUCAGUCGAAGUCGAAGCGGCCGUCGGCGUCGACGAAGCGCUUGAUGACGCGCAUGAGCUCGGCGGAGGCGUCGGACCAGGGGUCGAUGGUGAAGAAGCCGUGCUGCUGGCCGUGGAAGUCCCUGACCACGACGGGCUUCCCAGCGGCCCUGAGCCUGGCGGCGUAGUCGACGGCACGGUCGUGGAGGAGGUCGCGGCCGCCGACGACGACCAGGGUGGGCGCGAAGUCGACGGCGUCCAGCGGCGGCGCGCCCGGGCCGAACGGGUUGGCCACGGGGUGGUCGGGCGUGGCGCCCUCCGGCAGCGACAGGCGCCAGUAGCGGUCGUUGAGGGGGCGGUCGAGGAAGGCGUCGGCGGGGCACUCGGCCUCCGACCGCGUGCGCGCCACGCCGCCGAAGAAUGGCAUGAGCUGGACGUAUCCCCGCACGGCGACGGGGGCCAGGUCCGCGGGCGAGCCGCCGAAGCGCACGGCGAGGUGGUGCGCGAUGGUGCCGCCGGCCGAGUCGCCCGACACGAAGACGCGGCCGAGGUCGGCGGCCUCGGCGACCCAGGGGUCCCCGCCGCCCUGCCUCGCCAGCCACAGGACCGCCGCCGCGCCGUCGUCGAUGGCGGCGGGGAGGCGGUGCUCGGGCGCGAGGCGGUAGUCCGGCGCCACCACGAGCGCGCCCAGGUCGGAGGCCAGGCGCAGGCAGUAGUUCUGGCAGUUGGGCCAGGCGCGGGACCCGAUGCAGAAGCCGCCGCCGUGGUAGUAGAAGAAGACCGGCAGGCGCCGCCCGGCCCCGGCCCCGCGGUCCCGGGGGAGGUAGAGGCGGAGCGCCAGCCCGCGGGCCUCGUCGAACGUCACGUCCUUCCAGUCGACCGUGCCGUCGUCCCGCACCGGUGUCGCGAACCCCGGCUGCGCGCGCCGCACCACCGUGCCGUCGCUGUACACGAACAGCACGCCCCGGCACUCGUCCACGACGACCCGCGGCGCGGCCUCGGACGCCAUGGGUGGGUGGGCGCUGGCGCGUGGCUGGAGUGGUCGAGUGGAGCGGCGCGGGGUGAGUGACAAGUGUGAGUCAUAUAGAUAGAGCGGGAAGCGUGGGGUGCGCAAGUGGAGGCGCUUUUUUGUCGUUUGGGAGACGAGUGGUUCGGGCCGGG